AUUGAACGCUGGCGGCAGGCCUAACACAUGCAAGUCGGGCGAGUGGCGGACGGGUGAGUAAUGCUUGGGAAUCUGGCUUAUGGAGGGGGAUAACUACGGGAAACUGUAGCUAAUACCGCGUACCAUAGGAUGAGCCCAAGUGGGAUUAGGUAGUUGGUGGGGUAAAGGCUCACCAAGCCGACGAUCCCUAGCUGGUCUGAGAGGAUGACCAGCAACACUGGGACUGAGACACGGCCCAGACUCCUACGUGAGGCAGCAGUGGGGAAUAUUGCGCAAUGGGGGCAACCUGACGCAGCCAUGCCGCGUGAAUGAAGAAGGCCUUCGGGUUGUAAAGUUCUGUCGGUGGCGAGGCGUUAACUACAGAAGAAGCACCGGCUAACUCCGUGCCAGCAGCCGCGGUAAUAC
rnacentral:rRNA from 1 species